rnacentral:rRNA from 1 species
UUCGCAAUGCCCGAAAGGGUGACGAAGCCACGCCGCGUGAGCGAAGAAGGCCCUAGGGUUGUAAAGCUCUGUCGGGGGUUAUGAAAUGUAGAUCGGUUAAUACCCGGUUUAUUUGACAAAGGCCCCAAAGGAAGCCACGGCUAACCCUGUGCCAGCAGCCGCGGUAAUACAGAGGUGGCAAGCGUUGUUCGGUAUUAUUGGGCGUAAAGAGCACGUAGGUGGUUUUGUAAGUCAGAUGUGAAAGCCUUCUGUUCAAAGGAAGAACGGCAUCUGAAACUGCGGAUCUUGAGUGUAGGAGGGGAGAGUGGAACUUCUGGUGGAGCGGUGAAAUGCGUAGAUAUCAGAAGGAACGUCGGCGGCGAAAGCGACUCUCUGGCCUAUUACUGACACUGAGUGUGCGAAAGUUAGGGGAGCAAACGGGAUUAGAUACCCCGGUAGUCCUAACUGUAAACGAUGGGCACUAAGUAGAGGGGUUUU